GUAGAAGAAGAGACUCAUUCAUUGUGAGCUGUGUUCCCAAUGUUCCUGUUUCUAGAAUACUAGGAGCUGUUUGGAGAAAAAAAGACCAAAAUGUCAGUUGCUUGGAUAAUUCAACCAGCACACUGUUCCUGAAGCCAGUUGAUUCUCUUUGGGACUUGCCAAGCUGAGCUGUGGUUUGGAAAUGCAGGACUAGGUUUGGAGGCUCUUGAGGAAAGCUGUAUACCAGGAAGAGCCGUCUGUGGGAUACAGAAACCCAGCUUGACCCUGCUGCACAGCCAGUGAGGAGAGAUGCACUGAGAUCCCAGGAAGAGCCCUGUUGAUCCCAUGGGGAAGAACAGAGAUGCACUGCAUUUGUAAUGUGGAACCAAGAUGCUGGGCUUGUCUGGUGAUCCUCUGACCUCCUGUCAUGUGCUUGACCCUGAUCUUGUACCUACUAAGCCGUGCAAUAAAGUGAAGGUGUCAUUGGAA